UAGUCCACGCUGUAAACGAUGAGCACUAACUAUUGGGGUAUUGACCCCCUCAGUGGUUCAGCUAACGCAUUAAGUGCUCCGCCUGGGGAGUACGGUCGCAAGAUUAAAACUCAAAGGAAUUGACGGGGGCCCGCACAAGCGGUGGAUUAUGUGGUUUAAUUCGAAGCAACGCGCAAAACCUUACCAAGGCUUGAAAUCCGGAGAAGUCGACCGAAAAGUUGACGUGCCCUUCGGGGAAUUCCGUGACAGGCGCUGCAUGGCUGUCGUCAGCUCGUGUUGUGAAAUGUUGGGUUAAGUCUCGCAACGAGCGCAACCCCUAUUGUUAGUUGCCAGCAUUAAGUUGGGCACUCUAGUAAGACUGCCUGGGUUAACCAGGAGGAAGGUGGGGAUGACGUCAAGUCCUCAUGGCCCUUAUGCCUUGGGGCUACACACGUAAUACAAUGGGACAAUACAAAGGGGCAGCGAACUCGCGAGAGGGAGC
rnacentral:rRNA from 1 species